rnacentral:tRNA from 1 species
GGGGAUGUAGCUCAGUGGUAGAGCGCUUGCUUCGCAUGUAAGAGGCCACGGGUUCAAACCCCGUCAUUUCCA